rnacentral:rRNA from 1 species
GAUAAACGCUGGCGGCGUGCAUGAGACAUGCAAGUCGAACGGACGAAUGGGCUUGCUCAUUCGUUAGUGGCGGACGGCUGAGUAACGCGUAGGUGACCUACCCCGAAGUGGGGAAUAACUGCCCGAAAGGGUGGCUAAUACCGCAUGUGGUGUUGCGUUCAGUCGCAUCAUCAAAGCCGCAAGGCGCUUCGGGAGGGGCCUGCGUCCGAUUAGCUCGUUGGUGGGGUAACGGCUCACCAAGGCGACGAUCGGUAGGUGGUCUGAGAGGAUGAUCACCCAGACUGGGACUGAGACACGGCCCAGACUCCUACGGGAGGCAGCAGUCGGGAAUUUUGCUCAAUGGGCGCAAGCCUGAAGCAGCAACGCCGCGUGAGGGAUGAAGGCCUUCGGGUUGUAAACCUCUUUUGACAGGGACGAUGAUGACGGUACCUGUCGAAUAAGUCACGGCUAACUACGUGCCAGCAGCCGCGGUAAGAC